rnacentral:rRNA from 1 species
GUGGUGACGGUACCUGGAUAAGAAGCACCGGCUAACUACGUGCCAGCAGCCGCGGUAAUACGUAGGGUGCGAGCGUUGUCCGGAAUUACUGGGCGUAAAGAGCUCGUAGGUGGUUUGUCGCGUCGUCUGUGAAAUCCCGGGGCUUAACUUCGGGCGUGCAGGCGAUACGGGUAUAACUAGAGUGCUGUAGGGGAGACUGGAAUUCCUGGUGUAGCGGUGAAAUGCGCAGAUAUCAGGAGGAACACCGAUGGCGAAGGCAGGUCUCUGGGCAGUUACUGACGCUGAGGAGCGAAAGCAUGGGUAGCGAACAGGAUUAGAUACCCUGGUAGUCCAUGCCGUAAACGGUGGGCGCUAGGUGUGGGGGUUUUAUUUACGAUUCCCGUGCCGUAGCUAACGCAUUAAGCGCCCCGCCUGGGGAGUACGGCCGCAAGGCUAAAACUCAAAGGAAUUGACGGGGGCCCGCACAAACGGCGGAGCAUGUGGAUUAAUUCGAUGCAACGCGAAGAACCUUACC